CACAUCAAACUGCGAGCCCAAAUGCUGAUCUUCCAGCAAAAGACGAAUCUACGUCUUCAGUACUUCUCCGUCUGAGUGCAGAAACUCAGCUUCUUCUAAAGGAGAUAUUAUCUGUGAAACAGAUGCAAAAGAAAUGUGAAGCACUAGAGGAGGAGAAGAAGAAGUUGGAGGAAGAAGCAGAAAACCUCAGACGUCACCUCGAAAUGAAUACAGUGGAACACAGUCAAGUGGAGCAGGACAAACGGGAGACUGAAGAACAAACAAGACGGGAUGUAGUAAAAACACUGAAAAAAUUCAGGCGAGCUGUGCAGUACAGACGGGAAACUGAAAAGCAAGGAAGACAUGAUGUAGUAGAAAAACUGAAAGAAAUCAGCCAGUUUUUACAGGGCUAAUGAGAGGCUGGCCGAGAUGAACACUGAACUUCAGCUGGAGAAACAGCACAAGAGUUCUUUCCUCGGCUCUGUUCCCGCACGGCCUGUUGAUAGACCGCCUGCUGCUGAAAGUUCUAGUACUGCUGAAAGUUCUAGUACUAGCGUGGAGCCCGAAUGGAGUCGUCUUACUCGAAAAAGGCGCUUCAGGAAUUUUCCACACCCUACAACCAGCAUGAGCGAUCUGUUGAAGAUGCGGAAGAAGCUGAUAAACAAUAUAUCUAGAGAAUUAAAAGAAGGUAUGUUGCCAACAUUUCUGAAUUAAAUUUAGACGUUGAUUUCUGAAAUACACUGUAAACAGUAAAUGGCACCCCUUUCUAUUGCUUGAAUAACAGAUACCAUGUUAAGCUUUUUUCUUACACAUAGCUGAUGAA